rnacentral:rRNA from 1 species
AUUGAACGCUGGCGGCAGGCUUAACACAUGCAAGUCGAGCGGAGAUGAGGUGCUUGCACCUUAUCUUAGCGGCGGACGGGUGAGUAAUGCUUAGGAAUCUGCCUAUUAGUGGGGGACAACAUUCCGAAAGGAAUGCUAAUACCGCAUACGUCCUACGGGAGAAAGCAGGGGAUCUUCGGACCUUGCGCUAAUAGAUGAGCCUAAGUCGGAUUAGCUAGUUGGUGGGGUAAAGGCCUACCAAGGCGACGAUCUGUAGCGGGUCUGAGAGGAUGAUCCGCCACACUGGGACUGAGACACGGCCCAGACUCCUACGGGAGGCAGCAGUGGGGAAUAUUGGACAAUGGGUGAAACCCUGAUCUAGCCAUGCCGCGUGUGUGAAGAAGGCCUUAUGGUUGUAAAGCACUUUAAGCGAGGAGGAGGCUACUGAGACUAAUACUCUUGGAUAGUGGACGUUACUCGCAGAAUAAGCACCGGCUAGCUCUGUGCCAGCCGCCGCGGUAA